AUUGAACGCUGGCGGCAGGCCUAACACAUGCAAGUCGAGCGGAUGAAGGGAGCUUGCUCCUGGAUUCAGCGGCGGACGGGUGAGUAAUGCCUAGGAAUCUGCCUGGUAGUGGGGGAUAACGUCCGGAAACGGGCGCUAAUACUGCAUACGUCCUGAGGGAGAAAGUGGGGGAUCUUCGGACCUCACGCUAUCAGAUGAGCCUAGGUCGGAUUAGCUAGUUGGUGGGGUAAAGGCCUACCAAGGCGACGAUCCGUAACUGGUCUGAGAGGAUGAGCAGUCACACUGGAACUGAGACACGGUCCAGAGUCCUACGGGAGGCAGCAGUGGGGAAUAUUGGACAAUGGGCGAAAGCCUGAUCCAGCCAGGCCGCGUGUGUGAGGAAGGUCUUCGGAUGGUAGAGCACUGUAAGUUGGGAGGAAGGGCAGUAAGUUAAUACCUUGCUGUGUUGACGUUACCAACAGAAUAAGCACCGGCUAACUUCGUG
rnacentral:rRNA from 1 species